UACGUAGGGGGCAAGCGUUAAUCGGAAUUACUGGGCGUAAAGGGCGCGUAGGCGGCCUCCGCAAGUCAGUUGUGAAAUCUCCGAGCUUAACUCGGAAAGGUCAACUGAUACUGCGGGGCUAGAGUGCGGAAGGGGCAACUGGAAUUCUUGGUGUAGCGGUGAAAUGCGUAGAUAUCAAGAGGAACACCUGCGGCGAAGGCGGGUUGCUGGGCCGACACUGACGCUGAGGCGCGAAAGCUAGGGGAGCGAACGGG
rnacentral:rRNA from 1 species